UCGGAGAGUUUGAUCCUGGCUCAGGAUGAACGCUGGCGGCGUGCCUAAUACAUGCAAGUCGAGCGAACUGAUUAGAAGCUUGCUUCUAUGACGUUAGCGGCGGACGGGUGAGUAACACGUGGGCAACCUGCCUGUAAGACUGGGAUAACUUCGGGAAACCGAAGCUAAUACCGGAUAGGAUCUUCUCCUUCAUGGGAGAUGAUUGAAAGAUGGUUUCGGCUAUCACUUACAGAUGGGCCCGCGGUGCAUUAGCUAGUUGGUGAGGUAACGGCUCACCAAGGCAACGAUGCAUAGCCGACCUGAGAGGGUGAUCGGCCACACUGGGACUGAGACACGGCCCAGACUCCUACGGGAGGCAGCAGUAGGGAAUCUUCCGCAAUGGACGAAAGUCUGACGGAGCAACGCCGCGUGAGUGAUGAAGGCUUUCGGGUCGUAAAACUCUGUUGUUAGGGAAGAACAAGUACAAGAGUAACUGCUUGUACCUUGACGGUACCUAACCAGAAAGCCACGGCUAACUACGUGCCAGCAGCCGCGGUAAUACGUAGGUGGCAAGCGUUAUCCGGAAUUAUUGGGCGUAAAGCGCGCGCAGGCGGUUUCUUAAGUCUGAUGUGAAAGCCCACGGCU
rnacentral:rRNA from 2 species